rnacentral:tRNA from 1 species
GGCGUGUUCGUCUAGUGGUCUAGGACGCUGGCCUCUCACGCCGGUAACACGGGUUCGACCCCCGUACGCGCUA